rnacentral:misc_RNA from 1 species
GUUGGAUAUUUUCACUCUUUAUAAUGUUAUUCGCACUCCAACUUAUCAGGCUAAUAGCUUUGUGGGGGGAGGAAAUAUUUGCCAAAUGUAUAAUGGAGGAAGUCAAAAGUUUGGAUAUGGACAACCAUAUUCACCUUCGGCUAAUUAUUAGAUGCAUCCAGAGCACUAAAAAAUAGUACUCCCUCUCUCACAGAAAAGUGGGUCAU